rnacentral:rRNA from 1 species
CCUACGGGAGGCAGCAGUGGGGAAUAUUGGGCAAUGGGCGCAAGCCUGACCCAGCAACGCCGCGUGAAGGAAGAAGGCUUUCGGGUUGUAAACUUCUUUUCUCAGGGACGAAGAAAGUGACGGUACCUGAGGGAUAAGCCACGGCUAACUACGUGCCAGCAGCCGCGGUAAUACGUAGGUGGCAGGCGUUAUCCGGAUUUAUUGGGUGUAAAGGGCGUGUAGGCGGGAGCGUAAGUCAGAUGUGAAACCUCAGGGCUCAACCCUGAGCCUGCAUUUGAAACUGUGUUUCUUGAGUGCUGGAGAGGAAAGCGGAAUUCCGGGUGUAGCGGUGAAAUGCGUAGAUAUACGGAGGAACACCAGUGGCGAAGGCGGAUUGCUGGACAGUAACUGACGCUGAGGCGCGAAAGCGUGGGGAGCAAACAGGAUUAGAUACCCUGGUAGUC